CUGCGCGUCGGCCAAGAGGGGGCGGUGUCUCGCACUACGUGAGUCGAAACAGGAGAGGCAUGCUGGGAACCCAGCGGGAGGUCGCCUUUGUUGUUGUGCGCGCCGGAGGAAAAAGUGGAUUUUUGCGCUCGCUCCGUCCGAGCACCAGGACAGGAAGUGGCCUCCGUAGAGGAAACUUGACCCCCCCUCCAACAAAAAAAAAAAACCCUUAACUCUCUCCCCUCGUGGUACUUUUACUUGUCUUCCGCCCUUUGUAGCGCCAUCCCAUCCCUCCACCUUCUCCUUUUUCUCGCAGCGUGAACGUUGAAUUGCAUUUUGGUCGUAUUUGUAUUUUCUUUCUUAGUCAAGUCAAUGCAUGAAAAUAUUUCAAAACAAAGACUUUUUAUUUUGCUUUCUUCAACAUCACAGCAAAGUGCCUGACAUUUAAUAUUCCCAUUUCAGUUCCUCCUUUUUGAUUAAAAAUCACAACUUUUUUUCCCCACUAUAUAUUUCUUUUUAGGCGGCACGGUGGUUCAGCUGGAAAGCAUUGGGUUCACAGUUCUGAGGAACCGGGUUCGAUCCCGCACCCACCUGUGUGGAGUUUGCAUGUUCUCCCCGUUCCCGCCCACAUCCCAAAAACAUGCAACACUAAUUGGAGACUCUAAAUUGCCCAUAGGUGUGAUUGUGACUGUGACUGUUUGUCACCAUGUGCCCUGCGAUUGGCUGGUAACCAUUUGACCGCUGGCAUAGGCUACAGCACUCCCGGCGACCCUCGUGAGGGUAAGCGGCACAAGAAAAUGGACAGAUGGAUAUUUCUUUUUACAUUCCAAGUUUCUUAAAGGGCUACUGACACUUAAAGCAUGAUUUUUAGUAUGUUUUGUAUGUAAAAAAGGCAAGUUGCACAGGUUAGUGAAUAUUAAUUAAAGGUCCACUGACAUGAAAUGCAUGAUUUUUAGUAUGUUAUUAAUGAAAAAAUGGAAGCCGGAAUGGACCCAUCCGCUUUUUUUUUUCCAUCACACGUCAUGAUGUUGUCGUAGGUGGAUUUUUGUACCUCCCGCCAUGAAAAUCCUCUCGAGGGAUUCGUUUUGGAGAAGAAGCAGGAAGUGAGUUUUUUUCCAGAACCCACACUGGUGGUUUCUUGUUUUUAUACCAGUUUUAGUGGUGCGAAAGUAGCUGUUUUUUUUCCCUGCGUGUCAGCCAAAAUGCCGACUCGUUGUAUUGCCGGAUAUUGCUCGAACACUUGGGAGGAUGGAUUCACUCUUUGCACUUUUCCAAAAGACCCGGUUUGUUGUGACCCGGAUUGCACAGGUACAAAGGACGAGAGCUUCGUGGGUACCAAAUGACAGGUAGGUGUGUACAGAGCUAUUAAAAAAAAAAAAAUCAUAGUUUGGGGGACAACGUAAUCCUUCUUUCAGCGAGCGACCAGUGACGUACGCUACAUACAGUCAGGGAGUCUGUUGUUAGUUAGAAGUGAUCCGCAUAUCAUCUAAAUGCAGCUUGAAACGAAAGGGUAAUAUUGCCCCGGUCACUUCACUCGGUUGGGAGAUGUUCUCUUCUUCGAAAAGAGCUUCCGUGUCAGAAGGGGCGUCGGAAAAAUCCGAAAAUCUCUGUCGUGUACGUGUUUUCAAUGGCGAAUGUCCCGGUGUGACGUCUGCUGAUGACGUUGCAGGCAACAUGGCUGCCACUGGGAUGUCGAGUGAGACUUCUGCAACUUUGCGCAUGGAUGACACGCUCUCUGCUCAUAUUUAUUUUUUCGUAUUAUUCUAUGUAAUUUUCGUAACAAGGCCUAUUUUACAAUGUAUACGGGGAUGUCAGUGGCACUUUAAUUUCCGAGCAAAGAAUGCAAAUGACAAAUUUCAGGUAUUGGGCAAACAUUUUCGUAGGAUUACCGAGCGUUGGGCGGCGGUCUCUGCUCUGCCAAAUAAACAAGACAUUUUUUUUUUUUUUAAACUAAAAUGUUACACAAAUUGUCCUGUCAUUCCCUUGGCGCUGAUCUUUUUUUGCUCACACAAUUGUGCAGGGUGGUGACCUCUCGCUUAGCCCCCCCCCCCCCACAGAAAACAAAGUAAAACAGCGUUUGAGCAAACGGCAGUGUAUUUAACCACACCAAAAAAAAAAAAAAAACAACAGCCAAUAAGGCACAGAGGAAAAAAAACAACAACAAGAACUAAACAACAGCAGAAGGUCAAACGAAGGAGAGAGACCAAGCUUUAGGGAGCCUCCAUCUUGUCCCCCCCCCCUCCCCCUUCACUCCAGAUUUUGUCCUAGUCCCUCAGCACACUUCCGGCACUGUCACAUUUAUUUACAUUUUUUUCCCACCCCCCCAUAAAGCUGUGUGAAGUGGGUUAGUCGUACAUUUGCAGUGCUGCUGUUAACAGGGGAAUCUUUUUAAACAUUUUUUCGUUUUUAAUAACGCACAAACUGCCACAGUUUUACACUCCUCUAUAUACAGGAAAUUUGAGCAGGAACAAAAGGCCAUCGUUGAAAUUCAAAAUGAACAUAGAUUACAGUUGUAACGCAGUAUUAAUAACAAACGUGGAAGUGCUUGUUAACCCUUUGGAGCAGGGACCUUUUUUCUUUUUAAAUCAGGGCAAAGCGUUAUCGUAUUAUUAUUCUAUUACAAACAUUUGUCAGUUAAAUGUUUUGCGUCCCUCUUGGAUGUUUUUGGGGACUUGUAUGGCAGUCCGGAUAAAACGUGGGAGGCAAAAAGUCAACAUCUCCCUGUUCAAAUGCCGGUUUUUCAUGAUAUAAAAAAAAAAAAAAUAGACCAGGAUUAAUUAUUUCAAAACUUUUUCCAUCAAAAACCUGAGCAAUUAAAAAUAAUGAUCGUUUUGAAAAAAAAAAAAAAAAAGUUUGAUUCCUGGCAUCCCCAGUUAAGAGGGUGUGUACAGUUCUGCAAAACCUCAGUUGUUUAUUUUUACUCCCCUAAUAAAAAAAAAAGAUUUUAAUCAAUUAAUAUGUCCUGUUUACAGGUCACAUUCAUGGUGCAAAAAGUUUUGAAACAAAUGUUUGACGGUUUUAAUUUCCUGUCAGCAGCAAAUGAAUGAAUCCGUUUCUUGUACCAAAACAUUAUAAAAGAAUCCAUUAUUCGCAAAGGGAGGGAGCGUCUACACACAUUCAACAUCAAGCGAUACAAACGGGUAUGCCGGAGCCGGCGUUGUACUUCAAUUAAACACGUGGCUUAAGUUUUAAAAGCGUUUCGGAUUGCGAGCGUGAGCUGCUCGGGAAUCCCGUCAACACCACGGACCGCUUCCAAGUAUUGUCACGCCCUAUUAGACACUGUCAAGUUCCGUUUUGUGCACUCCAUUUACUGGAUUUCGCAUCAGAACAGUGACUGCCGCGGCAAAUAUUUCAAAAAUGUAAACAUCUCGCCGGGAUCCGGGGCAAUCGCGGCCCGCCGUCCUGCCGCGUUGUCUCGUGACUGUUCGGUUUUGUUUACGUUGGCCUGAAGAGGGUCUGCCUCGGCCACCAGAAACAUUGUCAACGGAGCUUAGAAAGUAUACAGUGGCGCCUUGAAAUCUAUAAAUUUUCUUCUUUUCCUUUCGGCUUGUCCCGUUAGGGGUGGCCACAGAGUCGAACUUCAUCUGUCAGUCCAUCCAUUACUACCGCAAACAGGAAGGGGCUCAGCGCGAAUCCCUGAUGCAGUCCCACCUCCACCUUAAACUCUUCUGACACGCCGACGGCACACCUCACCGCUGUUCUGCUGCCCUCAAACACGUCCCGUACUAUUCUAACGCAUUUCUGCCUUGAAAUCUCAAAUUACCUUACAAAAGCAUACAGAACAAAUUAAAUAGAAUAUAAAAAAAAAAUGGAACCCGUUUUUCAUGGAAGUAAAUUAGUGCCACCAGGAUUUGAAUUUGAAAUGCCACAGAAAACAGGAUUUGAAUUUGAAAUGUAAAGUGAACACAUUUUCAACAGUUGCUACAAUUCGCUGUCUAAAAUUCACCGUCUGCGCCACCAGGCGGGGUUACUUCAGGUCAGAACCGAACAGCCGGCCAAUCCAGUUAUGCUUUCUUAGUCACGUGACGCCACGUGGCACAGAGGGUGAAUUUCAGACAGUGAAUUGUAGGAACUUCAAAUUCAAAUCCUGGUGGCACCAAUUUACUUCCACAGUUUUUAUCACACUUGGAAUCAUCCGGAUGACAUUUUUUUCUGCUGCCGGCCUUGGCCACCUGGGGGCAGCAUGAGAGACGGAAACAUUGUACGCGGACAUUUGUACAGUACGAGAUAGGCUUAGGUGGAAAAAGAUGACACGCUGUGGCGACCCCUAACGGGACAAGCCGAAAGGAAAAGAAGAAGAAGAGGAAGUCCUCCCAGUUUUUUUUUUGCAGAGGAUAAAGAAUAUACGACUGUGGGUGCUGUCAUGUUGAAUGUCUACAUUUGUUUCUGCACUGUUAGUGUUCAAAUAUCAUAAUUAAAGGGUGAUAUAAGUUUCCCAAAAUGUGUUAGCAUUAGCAUUAAGGUAGCGGACUAAAGGCGACUCCUACUUUUGUGUUUAUUAUGACGUUAAAUUUCCAGCGUUAGUGGCAUUAAACAGCUUGGAAACUUCUCUCUUUUUUUUUUUUUUUAAACAAUUGUUCAUAAUUUGUGAAAAUUCAUUUCACCGGCACCAUGCAGCGCUUGCGUCUCGAGUUUGAAAAAAAAUCAAAUCAAAUCUGACUGCUAAGAUCUUGCAUGUGAAGGCACCACUGUAGUUCCACUGAUAAAACGGCCUCGUGCUUUGAAUUUUGCUCCUUGGCUCCUCAGCUGGAUGAAACAAAAUAUUUGACAUUAAUCGCAGGGCACGAAUUGAUUUCCCAGUGCUUCAAAUUGGAUUCACUGGCAUUGGGGGAAGCGACUCCCACUCGCGCCAAAAAUCGCCAAAUAUCCUCAAAGAGCGACACAACCAUUUUGAUCCAACAAAGCAUUGCAAUGCCAUACCGAUUUCUGACAUCUGAACCAUUUUUUUUUUUU